rnacentral:rRNA from 1 species
AUGCGAAUUGCUACUCUUCUUGAUGCGGUGGUUGACCUGCUCGCGCAACUCCGGUGGGCGCUGGGUUCCAUGAUCUUGGUCAGGAGAAAUCCAUGCUUUGCUACUCUUCUUGAUGCGGUGGUUGACCUGCUCGCGCAACUCCGGUGGGCGCUGGGUUCCAUGAUCUUGGUCAGGAGAAAUCCAUGCUUCGAAGAGGCUGACAACGGCGACGCCCGUGGGCGCCGUUCCCAUCUUGGAGGCAUUGUUUUGGCCCUUAUCUGGCUCUCUUCCUCGAGCUCAAGGGAAACCUUUGGUCCGGCCACCGGACCAGGCGGCGACGGCAUCAUAGCGUCGUUUUCUUCUUGA